GCUCGUCUGGGCGAGGGUAAAUAGUAAUUAGGCCCAGAGCGUCUUGGCUGGCAGAUCUGCCGGUCGGGGGUUUAG
rfam:Clostridiales bacterium 42_27 Ley3_66761_scaffold_13135, whole genome shotgun sequence.